rnacentral:rRNA from 1 species
AGAGUUUGAUCCUGGCUCAGAACGAACGUUGAUGGCGUGCCUCAUACAUGCAAGUCGAGCGCCCCGCAAGGGGAGCGGCGGACGGGUGAGUAACACGUAAAGAAUCUGCCCUAAGGUGGGGAAUACCUAUCCCAACGGAUAGUUAAUACCGCAUAAGGAUGGAGGUGGCAUCACCUCUUCUCGAAAGAUUUAUCGCCUUAGGAUGACUUUGCGUCCCAUUAGCUUGUUGGCGGUGUAACGGACCACCAAGGCGACGAUGGGUAUCCGGCCUGAGAGGGUGUACGGACACAUUGGGACUGAGAUACGGCCCAGACUCCUACGGGAGGCAGCAGUAGGGAAUUUUGCGCAAUGGAGGAAACUCUGACGCAGCAACGCCAUGUGUGGGAUGAAGCAUUUCGGUGUGUAAACCACUGUCAGCGGGGAAUAAAUGGUCGCUUCGGCGGCAGUUGAAUGUACCCGCAAAGGAAGCCCCGGCUAACUUCGUGCCAGCAGCGGCGGUAAUUC